rnacentral:rRNA from 1 species
CACGUAGGAGGCAAACGUUAUCCGGAUUUACUGGGCGUAAAGCGCGUGUAGGUGGUUCUGUAAGUAGGGCGUGAAAGCUCCCGGCUCAACUGGGAGAGGCCGUUCUAAACUGCAGAGCUAGAGGAUGGUAGAGGGAGGUGGAAUUCCAGGUGUAGCGGUGGAAUGCGCAGAUAUCUGGAGGAACACCAGUGGCGAAGGCGGCCUCCUGGACCAUUCCUGACACUCAGACGCGAAAGCUAGGAUAGCAAACGGGAUUAGAUACCCGUGUAGU